rnacentral:SRP_RNA from 1 species
ACAUUCGCAGACAGACAACAUGCCGCCCGGCUCCGACCCCUCGCCCGAGGGCGGUUCGGAGCUGGAGCGGCUCGAGACUCUCACA